AAUUGAUUAUAUCCUCCGUCUUAAUACCAGUUUCACCUUGAUACAUCCAUAAACAUUGCAAAUAGCCCACCUUGUUGGCAGAGGUUAAUUAGAGUAACUCCGCCCACCAACAUAUGAUUGGGCAAACCGACACUACAGAAGACGAUCAAUAAACAGCAGCUCUAGUGACGUAGAUAGUGAAAUGCAAGCUAUAGUCUUUUUGAUUCAAUCGAUCAGACACUCCAUACGUUAUUAUUGCAUAAUGUUUUAUAAUUACUAAAGUGCUAAGGAGGAGAUAAUUGCCACUACUUGCAAUAAGUGGUAUAAAUAGCAGAAAAUCCCGGCAUUUUUUUUUUUACAUGGUGUCACAUGUGGAAUCUAUAGCUAGCACCUAGUUUAGCACCUAUAGAUUACAUCUAGUGCAAAUAACAUCGCUAUUUGCACUUAGUCUAAACAGCAUCUAUCGCUAAGAAAAUGUUAUUUUUACUUAUCUAAUUGUUAUUUACACUUAGAGCAAAUGGCUGCUGCCUUUAAAAAAACAAACGGGACAAUCUGGCAUGUACUGCACCUGAUAUAUCCAAGAUAAUCUGUCAAAUCGACACUGCACUUCUCCGUGACAUAUUAUCUAAACAAGAAAUUCUCAUGGAGCAGCAGAAGAAGAUUAUGAGGAUGGUGCAAGAUCUCGAAGCAAACAGGGUUUCUGAGGUCACAGAGACUAACCAUGAAACAUACAGUGAGAACGGAGAAGAUGAAAUGCCAUACAAGGUUGAAGAAUCCUGUCCGGUACAAAUAGGAAACCAAAAAUGGACAAACCCUGUGGACGUACCUGUGCAAAGAAAUGUACGAAGAAGAUCCCGUAUGUUAGAAGAAAAUAAAUAUUUGACGCCUAUAAGGACAUGUCACAGAGCGACAAAUUGGCUUUUGUAUUUCACUUGGUUACCCAAUCACUGAAAACGCGUCUCAUGAUGGGACGUCCAAGCAGACGCAACAGGACUUUUCACUAUUGCCUAAAUAACAGCUUUGGGUAACCUCAAGAAGUUUGCAAAACCUUCUACUUAACCACACUGGGAGACCACCUGAAAAACGAAACCUAUAGGAAAGCCAUAAAAGACGUGAACAUAGGUUUCAGUAAACUUGAGUGAGGAAGAGUGUUUUCAGUUGGUCAUAAAGCCACACUCUGUGUACUUGACAUUAAUUACAUGGUUUAGGAAUACGUUAUAAAAUGACUUGCAGUUACUUUUAUGUGUAGCAGAUAAAUAUUUGAAUAUUUUAGUUAAAGACAAACACUCCCUUCUUUGCUCUGCUUUUUGUGCUUUGGUGAAAUCUGAAGAAACGGCACUCUUUGUGUAUUUGUGACAUUGUGUAUUACAAAGUGCAACUGCAAUCACAAAUGGUCAAAGAAACAGUUCUUGCA